rnacentral:rRNA from 1 species
AGGAUCAAUACCAGGACAACAAGAACGACAACGAUUCCGGAGGAACAUGGGUAGUGGCGUGGGAUAAGCCCUACUCACAACCGAGCGGCCCGCGCAGGGGGGAGACCAUUGACCCCAGGGCCGGAGUUGCCCCUGACGGCCGUAAUGACUGCUCGCUCUGACGUGGCGUGAGGCGAGAGAGCCCGGCGCCCAAGACCCAUCCCCUCCGCACCCAGUCACACCCGCCGGGGGGUUGAAACGCUCGUUCCCCGGAGGAAUGUUAAGAACCACACCCUCUCCGCGUACACCUCCCUGUUGCUUCCCCGGGGGAUUCCCCCGGGGGAGGCCCCCGAGCGAGCCGAGCCGCCCAACCAACCGCAGGCGCCUCCGUCUGAUGGCCCGAGGGGCCAAGGAAGCAGGAGCGAGCGAAGAAACGAAAAGGAAAACUUUCAACAACGGAUCUCUUGGUUCCCGCAUCGAUGAAGAACGCAGCGAAAUGCGAUAAGUAAUGUGAAUUGCAGAAUUCAGUGAAUCAUCGAAUCUUUGAACGCACAUUGCACCCCCUGGCAUUCCGGGGGGCAUGCCUGUUCGAGCGUCUCUGGGACGAACACUCGCGCGAGUGAACGCGUGGUCGUGGCGACGGUGGCGUGCCCGAGGGGGCGGCCACCGCGCUGGAAUCAAAUGGUGGAUGCCCGCCGCGUGGCCGAGCGUGAUAUGACGAGCUGGCGCUCGCGCGCGGCGAGGCUGCCGGCCCUUCCCCUGUCCGUCCGGGCGGGGUGUUUUGGGAGCAAUGACAUGGGAACUCCUCGAAUCAGGCAGGGAUACCCGCUGAACUUAAGCAUAUCAAUAAGCGGAGGAAAAGAAACCAACAGGGAUUGCCCCAGUAACGGCGAGUGAAGCGGCAGAAGCUCAAAUUUGAAAUCUGGGGUCCCCGACCCCCGAGUUGUAAUUUGGAGAGGCAUCUUCGGGGGGGAGCGCCGGCCCAGGUUCCUUGGAACAGGACGUCGCAGAGGGUGAGAAUCCCGUGCCAGGCCGGCAGCCUCCUCCCGGGUGAAGGGCCUUCGACGAGUCGAGUUGUUUGGGAAUGCAGCUCCAAGUGGGUGGUAAAUUUCAUCUAAAGCUAAAUACCGGCGGGAGACUGAUAGCGCACAAGUAGAGUGAUCGAAAGAUGAAAAGCACUUUGAAAAUAGAGUCAAAAAGUACGUGAAAUUGUUGAAAGGGAAGCGCUUGAGACCAGACUCGGUCCCGGGCAAACACCGCACCCCCAGGGGCCAUGCAAUUGCCUGGGGCUGGGCCAGCAUCAGUUGGCGUGGCAGGACAAAGGCGCGGGGAAUGUGGCUCCCCUCGGGGAGUGUUAUCAGGCCCGCGCUCAACGCCGCCGACGCCGACUG